CAUUUCUUGGGCCGCUUCCCGCGGCAUAUGGGGGUUCCCAGGCUAGGGGUCUAAUCGGAGCUGUAGCCGCCGGCCUACACCAGAGCCACAGCAAUACAGGAUCCGAGCCGCGUCUGCGACCUACACCACAGCUCACGGCAACGCCGGGUCCUAACCCACUGAGUAAGGCCAGGGCUCGAACCCGCAACCUCAUGGUUCCUUGUCAGAUUCGUUAACCACUGAUCCAUGACAGGAACUCCCAAUUAAGUCUUUUAAAACUCCAGAUAAGAUCAUAAUUCAAUAUUUUUGCUAUAACAAUCUCUCUCAUACAUGUGCAUAUAUGUGUGUGUUUUACACUAACACACACACACAGAAUAAACUUACUUCACAUUUAUCUCUUCCUUUUUUUCAGAACAAUCAAUUUAAAAACUGUCUACUCUUUGUUUUCUUGGUCAUGUCCAAGACAUAUGGAAAUUCCCAGGCUAGGGGUUGAAUUGGAGCUAUAGCUACCAGCCUACACCACAGCCGCAAUAACACCAGAUCUGAGCCUUUUCUUCGACCUACACCACAGCUCAUGGCAAUGCAGGAUCCUUAACCCACUACCUCAUGGAUACCAGUCGGAUUUGCUUCAGCUUCACCACAGUGAGAACUCCAUCAUAAAUAUACAUUUGGAAAAUUUAAUAUGCUAUGUUGUCACGUGUGAUUGCAUACACAUACGUGUGAAUCAAGACUAAAAAGAAACGAUAAACAGAGAACCAACCCCCCCUGAUAAUUCAGAAGAAGGGGGGAGAUAACUGUAAAAUUUAUACUUUCAAGCAGUAGAAAAAUAUAGGUUGUCUAAUAAUUCUUAUGUAGGAACUUUACACAUAUAACCAGCAUUGAACCAGAGAGGCCGAUCCAAACUCUUGAACAUGGCAGCCCAUCCACCCAUCUAAUAAAGACCCACUACCUUUUCUUUCUUUCUUUUUUUUUUUUUUUUUUUUUUUUUGUCUUUUUAGGGCCAUACUCUUGGCAUACGGGGGUUCCCAGGCUAGGGGUUGAAUUGGAGCUGCCGCACUGCACCACAGCCAGGGAUCGAAUCUGCGCCCUCAUGGAUACUAGUCCGGUUCGUAGCCAACUGAGCCACAAUGGGAACUCCAAGAUUUCUUUUCAUGUUAGCAGCUAUACACAUCUGCCAUGUAAGGAUAAGUUGCAGAAAGCCUCUAUCAGGCUUUAUAACUUGUAUAAAUUGCAAGUUAUUAGAACAAAAUCACCUUUAAUUUGAAAAUAAAUGUAAACAAUCAGAUCAAGCUAUGCAAGUGUUUAUAUCAUCACAGCCAAUCAAGAAUUAUUACCAGUACCUAUCACCUGGUAGGUCUAUUCACCAUAUGGCUACCAAGGACCAUUCACUAGUUAUAAUAAGUGCUGAUGUUAUGUUUUACCUCAGGAGAAAACAAUCACAUGAUUAUAGUUCUACUGAAAGUUUUUAGUUAAGGCUCAUCACCUUAUGACAUGAAAAGAGUAACAAAUCUAAAGACUUUGGAAAGACCCAUCCCCCAGCCAGGAUGCACGCAUUACCAGCCAAAUUAUGAGGGGACUCUGCAUCACGUGGAAUCAGCGGGACCCCUUGGAAUACAAGACAGGAUUUAUAUCUUGUAAUAAACCGAACAGAUUUUUGCACAGAGCCCUAAUUCAGGUGAGCAGAUGCUCUGUCCCUCUGCAGUCGACAAGAAGAUGGAACUGUCCCUCUGCAGAGUCAGAACGAGACCCUCUUAUAUUCUCUGCACUGAGUUAUCGAAUGUAAAUAUUCAUUGACCUUGUGUUUUUCUUUUUACCACCACACCCAUGACAUAUGGAAGUUCCUAAGCAAGGGGUUGAAUUGGUGCUGUAGUUGCUGGCCUACACCACAGCCAAGCCACAUCCACAAACUACACUGCAGCUCACAGCAACGAUGGAUCUUUAACUCACUGAGCAAGGCCAGGGAUUGAGCCCAAAAUAAAUAAACUGAUUCCUAUAGAAGAGGAAGGGAAUUAGGGACAGAGAUAGAAGCUAUGCUUGUCUGAAUAUAUUUAUUUUGUAGAUUCGACUCUAGAACUAUAUGAAUAUUUAACAUAAGAGUAAUGCAAACUUACCUCAAAAUGUGUUGGCAAUUUAUGUCUCCUUUUUUUCCUGAUCAGUCUGUCUGGAGGUUGAUCAAUUUUAUUGAUCUCUUCAGAGAACCAGCUUUCGGCCUCAUUGAUUUUCUCUAAUGUUUGCCUGUCUCCUAUUUUAUUGAUUUCCUCUCUUAUCUUAUUUCUUUCCCUCCACUCACUUUGAGUUUAAUUUGCUCUCUAUUUUCUAGUUUCUUAAGGUGGAAGUUUGAUAUUAGAAAUUUCUUCUUUACUAAUGCAAAUAUUUACACAGCUAUAAAUGUCUCCCUAAGAAUAUUGCCUCUGUGUGUGUACGUGUUUGCAAAGAUUUUGUUUUUAAAUUACAAACCCAACUUCUUUAAAUACGUACAGAGAUAUACAAAUUGUCUAUUUCUUUUUAUGCCAGUUUGCGUCAUUUCUCUUUUUCAAUGGCUUUUCAAGGGACAGCCUGGCUGUUCAGUGCAGCCCCUCCAUUCAGGUUGGAACCCAGCAUUUUCUGAGCUCUCUCAUAGUUGCUAUUUGUCUGCCCUGCAGUUAUUAUGUACAUUAAGUGUGUGCAUAGUUUCAGGGGUGUCAUUUCUU
ensembl:lncRNA